rnacentral:tRNA from 1 species
GCCUCGGUGGCGUAGUGGUCAAGACGCUCGCCUGGUAACCAGGAGGGCGUGGGUUCGAUCCCAGCCGAGGUA